UUACAGCUGCUCUUCAGACCCCAGCAGUCAAGAUGGUGAAGCAGAUUGAGAGCAAGGUUGCUUUUCAGGAAGCCUUGGAGGCUGCAGGUGAUAAACUUGCCGUAGUUGACUUCUUAGCCACGUGGUGUGGGCCUUGCAAACAGAUCAAGCCUUCCUCUCAUUCCCUCUCUGAAAAGAAUUCCCACAUGAUAUUCCUUGAAGUACGUGUGGAUGACUGUCAGGAUGUCGCUUCAGAAUGUGAAGUCAAAUGCAUGCCAACCUUCCGGUUUUUUAAGAAGGGACUGGGUGAAUUUCCUGGAGCUAAUAAGGAAAAGCUUGAAGCCAGCAUUAAUGAAUUAGUCUAAUCAUGUUUUCUGAAAACAUACCAGCCAUUGGCUAUUUAAAACUUAUAAUUUUUUUAUUUACAUAAAGUAUGGAGACUAUAAACCCAACUGCCAUCUGGAUGACAAUAACAUAUUAAUUCUACCUUUAAAAAAAGAAAGAGGGUACCAUAAACAAAGACCCAGAGAUGAUUGGGGUUUGGGAGGAGGGAGCUGGAGAACAGGUGAGUGUG